rnacentral:rRNA from 1 species
AUUGAACGCUGGCGGCAGGCCUAACACAUGCAAGUCGAGCGGAUGAAGGGAGCUUGCUCCUGGAUUCAGCGGCGGACGGGUGAGUAAUGCCUAGGGAUCUGCCUGGUAGUGGGGGAUAACGUCCGGAAACGGGCGCUAAUACCGCAUACGUCCUGAGGGAGAAAGUGGGGGAUCUUCGGACCUCACGCUAUCAGAUGAGCCUAGGUCGGAUUAGCUAGUUGGUGGGGUAAAGGCCUACCAAGGCGACGAUCCGUAACUGGUCUGAGAGGAUGAUCAGUCACACUGGAACUGAGACACGGUCCAGACUCCUACGGGAGGCAGCAGUGGGGAAUAUUGGACAUUGGGCGAAAGCCUGAUCCAGCCAUGCCGCGUGUGUGAAGAAGGUCUUCGGAUUGUAAAGCACUUUAAGUUGGGAGGAAGGGCAGUAAGUUAAUACCUUGCUGUUUUGACGUUACCAACAGAAUAAGCACCGGCUAACUUCGUG